rnacentral:rRNA from 1 species
GGCGUGUCUGAGAGUCGGGUUGUUUGGGAAUGCAGCCCUAAGCGGGAGGUACGCACCUUCAAAGGCUAAAUAUUCAGGCGAGAGACCGAUAGCGAACAAGUACCGUGAGGGAAAGUUGAAAAGCACUCUGGAGAGAGAGUGAAACAGUACGUGAAACCAGAUGUAGGGAAGCGCUUGCAUGGAGUACUUUGGCGGAGGGGAUUCGUCUCUUUCGUCAAGUCCAGCACCAGUUUGGAGUGCGGAGGAAAUAGCGCUGGCAAAGGUAGUGCCAAUUCUCGGAUUGGUGCAUUAUAGGGCCAGUUGCUGCUGCUCUGCCGCGGACUGAGGACAGCGGCAUCCUCUCCCCUCGGGGAGGGGUGCUACGGGGAAUCGGGCGGGCUGUUGCGGGCACCGGGGGCAGACUGCGUGCAGAC